UACGUAGGGGGCAGGCGUUGUCCGGAUUUAUUGGGCGUAAAGAGCGUGUAGGCGGCCUGACAGGUCUGCUGUGAAAACUCGAGGCUCAACCUCGAGAUGUCGGCGGAAACCGUCUGGCUAGAGUCCGGAAGAGGAGAGUGGAAUUCCUGGUGUAGCGGUGAAAUGCGCAGAUAUCAGGAAGAACACCUAUGGCGAAGGCAGCUCUCUGGGACGGUACUGACGCUGAGACGCGAAAGCGUGGGGAGCGAACAGG
rnacentral:rRNA from 1 species